rfam:Desulfobacterales bacterium C00003104 5133_contig_1937.2, whole genome shotgun sequence.
GUUUCCGUGAGGAAGGGUCUGAAAAAGCCGGUGAGCAAAGCUAUAAGCCGACGGACAGAAAUAGCAUCAAGGGCAAGUUCCGAGGGGAAUUAGGCCCAACAGUUGACAAACAUUGUGAUAUCCAUUAGAAAUCUACAAAAAAUCGCUUGAUUGCUGAGUGUCCUAUAUGGCAAGGGAUCGAUAG